ensembl:lncRNA novel transcript
UUUUUUUAUGAAACAGUCUCGCUCUGUCUCCCAGGUUGGAGUGCAGUGGCACGAUCUCGGCUGACUGCAACCUCCACCUCCUGGGUUCAAGCGAUUCUCCUGCCUCAGCCUCCCCAGUAGCUGGGAUUACAGGCGUGGGCCCCCAUGUCCAGCUAAUUUUUAUAUUUUUAGUAGAGACAGGGUUUCACCAUGUUGUCCAGGCUGGUCUUGAACCCCUGACCUCAAGUGAUCCACCCACCUCUGCCUCCCAAAGUGCUGGGAUUACAGGUGUGAGCCACCAUGCCAGGCCCACUUAACCUCUUCAAGUCUGUUUUCUCAUCUGCAAAACAGAGGUAAUAAGAUCAGUAUCUUCUUAAUGGAAGCACCUGGACUACAUUUUUUUCAUUCAUUGUUAUCAUAAAUGAGGACUAACCUGUCUCCCGUUGGGAGUUUUGAACCUAGACCUCAUGUCUUCAUGACGUCAUCACUGCCCCAGGCCCAGCUGUGUCCCUACACCAGCCCCAGCUGACGCAUCUUCUUUUUCUGCCUGUAGAGAUGGUUACAAUGCCUGGCGUGAUGCAUUCUGGCCUUCGCAGAUCCUGGCGGGGCUGUGCCAACGCUGUGGCCUCCCUGCCCCUGAAUACCGAGCCGGUGCUGUCAAGGUGGGCAGCAAAGUCUUCCUGACACCACCGGAGACCCUGCCCCCAGGGAUCUCUUCACAUGUGGAUUGACAUCUUUCCUCAAGAUGUGCCUGCUCCACCCCCAGUUGACAUCAAGCCUCGGCAGCCAAUCAGCUAUGAGCUCAGAGUUGUCAUCUGGAACACGGAGGAUGUGGUUCUGGACGACGAGAAUCCACUCACCGGAGAGAUGUCGAGUGACAUCUAUGUGAAGAGCUGGGUGAAGGGGUUGGAGCAUGACAAGCAGGAGACAGACGUUCACUUCAACUCCCUGACUGGGGAGGGGAACUUCAAUUGGCGCUUUGUGUUCCGCUUUGACUACCUGCCCACGGAGCGGGAGGUGAGCGUCCGGCGCAGGUCUGGACCCUUUGCCCUGGAGGAGGCGGAGUUCCGGCAGCCUGCAGUGCUGGUCCUGCAGGUCUGGGACUAUGACCGCAUCUCUGCCAAUGACUUCCUUGGAUCCCUGGAGUUGCAGCUACCAGACAUGGUGCGUGGGGCCCGGGGCCCCGAGCUCUGCUCUGUGCAGCUGGCCCGCAAUGGGGCCGGGCCGAGGUGCAAUCUGUUUCGCUGCUGCCGCCGCCUGAGGGGCUGGUGGCCGGUAGUGAAGCUGAAGGAGGCAGAGGACGUGGAGCGGGAGGCGCAGGAGGCUCAGGCUGGCAAGAAGAAGCGAAAGCAGAGGAGGAGGAAGGGCCGGCCAGAAGACCUGGAGUUCACAGACAUGGGUGGCAAUGUGUACAUCCUCACGGGCAAGGUGGAGGCAGAGUUUGAGCUGCUGACUGUGGAGGAGGCCGAGAAACGGCCAGUGGGGAAGGGGCGGAAGCAGCCAGAGCCUCUGGAGAAACCCAGCCGCCCCAAAACUUCCUUCAACUGGUUUGUGAACCCGCUGAAGACCUUUGUCUUCUUCAUCUGGCGCCGGUACUGGCGCACCCUGGUGCUGCUGCUACUGGUGCUGCUCACCGUCUUCCUCCUCCUGGUCUUCUACACCAUCCCUGGCCAGAUCAGCCAGGUCAUCUUCCGUCCCCUCCACAAGUGACUCUCGCUGACCUUGGACACUCACCCAGGGUGCCAACCCUUCAAUGCCUGCUCCUGGAAGUCUUUCUUACCCAUGUGAGCUACCCCAGAGUCUAGUGCUUCCUCUGAAUAAACCUAUCACAGCCACUGA